rnacentral:lncRNA from 15 species
AUGGGUAGAUGGAAACAUUGGUUUGUUGUCCUUCUGCCUCUAAUUAUUUAUAUCGGCAGCACAGCAACUGUUGUGAAUGUUGUGAAAACCAUUGGGAGCAAACCAGAUGUGACUUCAAUCUGCACCAAUGACACACUGCGUACCAUCACGCUUAUAGUUUGUAAGAUCAGAACACAGAUGGGGGGAGAAGAGUGUCGUCUGCUGUAUCGACAUGGAAAGGACUUUGAGCACGACUGUGACUCCAGGUUCACACUUAUGAUGGAUAAUCAGACUGUGUUCCUCCACCUGACCAGUUUAACAGCAGAGGAUAGUGGGAACUACAUUUGUGAUUGUUCGCGUCUUGAUGGAACGUACAGUCUUCAUCUGAAUAUCACUGUGGAAGGUUCCGCAGCCACCAUAGUUGCUCCUUUGCGGUUGAUUGAGGCGAGCAGUUUCAGUUGGUUACAAUCUACAAUUUCCCUGCGAGAUACCACUAAAUCUUACACGCUGGUCCUUUCAUGUGUGUAGAUGUAAAAAUGCAGAUGACACAAAUCAGGUGAGAUUGCGUAGAGCAGAUAUAAAACAUGUGAGCGUGUGAAUUAUGUUUGAUUUGCAGAUGAUGUCAGUAACAUAAUAUUACAUUAUACACUGAACAGGAAAGAGUGGAAUCAUAUUGUUUUGUUAAAGNNNNNNNNNNNNNNNNNNNNNNNNNNNNNNNNNNNNNNNNNNNNNNNNNNNNNNNNNNNNAAUGUAUAUUAUUACUGUGGUAAAGGAAGCUUUAACUAAAUGAGGGUGUUGUUGACAGAAAUGUAACUGUCUGAAAUCUUGGUGUUUUAUAUCUUGAAAAUGUAUUUUAAUAAAAUAUUAACUUUCUAAAUCUGUUAGUAACAAACAGUUCCUAUAUAUAGCACAGAGACAACAUUACUGAGAGUGUAUAAUGACAUCUUUAUGCAUGCUGACAAUAGUUAAAGCUCCAUCCUUAUUCUUAUUGAUCUGACUGCGGCCUUUGAUACCAUCGAUCCAUUUCACUUGAUAGAUUACAGAACUGGGUUGUUGUUUCUGGUACAGCCUUAGACUGGUUUCAUUCCUAUUUGACUAAUAGAUUCUUUAAUGUCUGCAUUAAUAAUCACGUUUCCUCCUCAUCUGUUCCCCUGCUGUGUGGAGUCCCUCAGGGGUCGGUUCUUGGUCCAGCUCUGUUCUCCCUGUACAUGCUUCCUCUGGGUCAUUUGUUCAGCCGCUUCCAAGACAUGUCAUACCAAUGUUAUGCUGGUGAUACACAGAUCUGCUUCUCUCUGAAACAAAAUCACCUGAAUCAACUGUCUUCUCUCCAUGAGUGUUUAGCUGCCACCAAAGACUGGAUGUCUCUUAAUUUUCUCCACCUAAAACAAAACUGAUAUCAUUUUAUUUGGCCCUGAGAACUUUGUCACUGCAGUUGAUCAGUUUAUUGGACCACUACACUCAAAUAUCAAACCCACUGCUAAGAAUCUGGGUAUCAUCUUCGACCAGUAUAUGACAUUUGACCUUCAUGUUACAAAAACUUGUCCAGUCCUGUUUCCUGCAGCUACGAAAUGUAGCAAAAUUCAGAAGUUUCUUGUCCUCCAGUGAUCUUGAACUAUUAAUUCACAGCUUUAUUUUCUCCUGUCUAGAUUACUGUAACUCCCUCCACACGUGCCUCAGUCAAGCUUCCUUUAAUCUUUUACAGUUAGUACAAAAUGCAGCUGUUAGACUUUUAACCAGAACCAGCCGUCGGUCCCACAUUACUCCUGUUCUCUCAUCCCUUCAUUGGCUUCCUGUGAAAUUCUGCCCCCAGUUACAUCCUCCCUAUGUAUGUUUGAUUGGGUAUGGUUAUGCAUGUACAUAUUUAUAUGUAUAUAUGCAUAUAUAUAGACCCAUAUGUAUAUUGUUGUUUGAAAAGCACUUUUGUACCGUGUUUAAAAAAGUGCUAUACAAUUAAAACUUUACUUACUUACUCACCUGUCAGGUAUAAAUAUAACGUUUUAUUCAUUUAUUAUGAUUUUACUUUGGCAAACAGAAAGAUUUUAACCACCAAAAGUGACAAAUCCUCAUUUGUCACUUUUCGAAAACAGCAAAAAAAAGGAGAACUUGAAACGAAAGUAAAUUGUGAGAUGGAACCUAUUUACUGUCAAUGGUUGAAUGUUGAAAGAGUUGGAGUGUGGACGGUACCACUGUAGGGGGGACAGCUAGACUUAACGCGCUGUUAAUUUAGUAUAUAAAAUAUUUUAUAGUAAUUGACUAAAUCAGCAGUUUACUGAUCAUUCCUUUGUAUUCUGUUGUUUUUAUUAUUUAUAAUAUUGUAUUUAUAAGGGUCAUAUUUUACAUAUUUGCCUUGACACUUCCCCCUCAGAGAUGAUACCAUAUAGUCUGCUGUACAUUUAUACAUAUUACAGUCUGUCAUAUUUAGUUUAUCUUAAGGUAUCGACACACAUACAGCUACAUCAUGGCAGACUGCGUCGUCCUCUGUCUCCUUUUGGUGUUGAACUUUCAGACAGGUAGGAAACUGAAUUCUAUAAAAAAUAUUAUGUUUUGUUUUGUUUUAAAGUUAUUUGUUGU